rnacentral:rRNA from 1 species
UAGAGUGACGCGGAGGCGGCGGAAAGGACCGUGAGAAGCGAAUAAGCGGCAGAGCUUUUAUCGUCUAGAUUAGAGGGCUAACACGAGCGGCGAAGGAGUGGGAGUGGUCCGCGUAGGCUGAUCUAGGAGGCGACCAUUUCGUCGCAUUCAGUCUGGUCAGCCUCUCUAAGCUAGUCAACCUGAAACCUCUCCUACUUAUGAGCCAAACACUUAAACUAUCACGUCCUGAACUCGGCAGCGUACAUAAGCGACGUAGCAGACCUAGGGAACUUCAUGGAGAAGAUAGGCAGUUGUCUUCGUGCUUUUCGUCGUGAUCGUUUUUGCCUCUUCUUGUUUGGUGGAUACGAUCUCGCGAACAGCCAAGACGGAUUCGGCCUUUAGUUAAAAGUAGGGUACAGAUCAAAUUGUGUAUCAUCAUACUUGUCCCUAAGCAAGAGAGAUGAACCUUUUCUGUCAUAACAAAAGUCACUGAGGAAAUCAUUCUGUUAUGAGAUGUUGUAACUCGACCCUUGACAACGUUCGUAGGGAGCAUAGUUAAGUACGUACCAAGGAAAACCGUACUCGGAGGGGUACUAGGUUCUGUUAGAACAACUGGCCUGUCUUCUAGUUAGAGAGAUACAAUACCUGGACAGUGCACUGCGGUUGUAGUCGUCGACGAAGCUCCAGGAAUCUACGCUGCUACCAACCCCGACCGUAUGAAACGGCCGCGGCGGUAAGGAGAGAGUGUUAGGAAGGAAGACUUCUUGGUAGUUGUCCACAACGAUGUGUCACCAGCUGUCGAGGUGGUAGACGUAUAGUAGAUACCUAGUCCCGUAUCCGUGCAUGUGGAAGCUGUGUCGCUCAGCACAUACCUCUGUCCAACCGUUUACCCAUGAUGGGAAGAUACCGUUUCGACUCAUACAGGGACUCGAGUUUGAGACCAAACCGGAGAGUCUUACGUUACCGAGAGGGUCCAAUACGCGGGACCUGGAGAGACGGUACCUGCGACUCGUCGGUGGUUGUGACGUCUUAUGAACCCUAAUAGAACUAGACAAACUCCUAUUCUUCUGCCACUAUAGACUUGUGGUAGACCAAUUGAACCCGAGACCGUACAAAACGUAACGGUGCGAGGAAUCCUGAUAAGACGUGUGUAAAUCGGGUCUGAGGGGUACGAGAAGUCCACUCCUUUAAUACUACCUAUACUACCUACCCCUCAAAUAAAAGAAUUGACCACACCUUCACCUCUCUACGACGUUGCUUCCAGUCCGAGGAAAGUUCUACUAGUUCGUGUUCAGAUAUAUAAUACUGAACUUUGUGGCAUGGUAUUUCAGGCACGAGAUUCGUUCAAAAACCCAGUGUACCUACGACGAGGAACCGUGCGAAGAGGGUGUAAGUGAGAACGGUACCGUUCAGGAACCUUAUUGAGGCUACCUGGAAUCAUAACAUCGCACGAUAUCUAGUAAAACACCAGAAUAAUAAAAUAACCAAUGACGAAGUUUCCGAACGGAUUAAAUAGACAUGCGAAACAAACAAAAUUCCUUUACAUACUCUGCGAGUCACUAAAAGUAAAAACGACAAUAAAAGAUAGUCAGGUCAAUUGAUGAGG